UACGUAGGGUGCGAGCGUUAAUCGGAAUUACUGGGCGUAAAGGGUGCGCAGGCGGUUCUGCAAGUCAGGCGUGAAAUCCCCGGGCUUAACCUGGGAAUGGCGCUUGAAACUACGGGACUGGAGUAUGGCAGAGGGAGGUGGAAUUCCACGUGUAGCGGUGAAAUGCGUAGAUCUCGAGAGGAACACCAAUGGCGAAGGCAGCUUCUUGGUCCAUUCCUGACGUUGAGGCACGAAAGCGUGGGGAGCAAACAGG
rnacentral:rRNA from 1 species